CCACCCUGGUUCCAGACUGCCUUACCCUGCUUUCUGCCUGCAACCAGGCACAAGCCACUGCCUUGCAGGCCAGGCAUGAGGAUGCUCCAUUGGGAUUUUUCCACCAACACAGCCUGGAACUCCUUGGUACCAGGAGCCAAACAAGUCUUUUGUCCCUUAAGAAUCAGUACUGUUGUAGCAACGUUCCUUACAUACGAUGUAGACCAGAGAGAAAGUGAAGUACCAUCCUAUACCCAAACGCCAAGGCUACAUUGGAGCCAUGUGUCUGGAAUGUUGGCGCAAACUGACAAUGGGAAUUCUGGGUGGACAGACCACAUGUUGCACCGCUAAUUAAAGAUCGCAUGGAUGUAGCUCUCAGGUCAGAAUGCACAACUGUGUGUAAUUCUGAUCCAUGGGUUCUGAGAGUUUCUGGAUGACACGAGAACUUGAAUGGUACUCAGUUGGAGAGGACUGCCCUGCAGAGAUCAGUCCCGGGCCUGCAGAUGCUGAAGCAGAAAUGUUCAGAAGGGACCUACCUAAUUAUGUUAGAGUAUGUCAAAGUAACCUCGCGUGGAGAGAGGUGAGAAACCCCAGCUGCACAUCUUCAUUGUUCAGCAGGGAAAUCCUUUAUUAAAGAAAAGAGUCUGGGCUGGAAGA
rnacentral:lncRNA from 1 species